UAGGGAAUUUUCGUCAAUGGGGGGAACCCUGAACGAGCAAUGCCGCGUGUGUGAAGAAGGUCUUCGGAUCGUAAAGCACUGUUGUAAGUGAAGAAUGCCAUAUAGAGGAAAUGCUAUGUGGGUGACGGUAGCUUACCAGAAAGCCACGGCUAACUACGUGCCAGCAGCCGCGGUAAUACGUAGGUGGCAAGCGUUAUCCGGAAUCAUUGGGCGUAAAGGGUGCGUAGGUGGCACGAUAAGUCUGAAGUAAAAGGCAAACAGCUCAACUGUUGUAUGCUUUGGAAACUGUCGAGCUAGAGUGCAGAAGAGGGCGAUGGAAUUCCAUGUGUAGCGGUAAAAAUGCGUAGAUAUAUGGAGGAACACCAGUGGCGAAGGCGGUCGCCUGGUCUGUAACUGACACUGAUGCACGAAAGCGUGGGGAGCAAAUAGGAUUAGAUACC
rnacentral:rRNA from 1 species